UACGAAGGGUGCAAGCGUUACUCGGAAUUACUGGGCGUAAAGCGUGCGUAGGUGGUUCGUUAAGUCUGAUGUGAAAGCCCUGGGCUCAACCUGGGAAUGGCAUUGGAUACUGGCGACCUAGAGUGCGGUAGAGGGUGGCGGAAUUCCUGGUGUAGCAGUGAAAUGCGUAGAUAUCGGGAGGAACAUCUGAGGUGAAGACGGGUUGCUGGGCUGACACUGACGCUGAGGCGCGAAAGCCAGGGGAGCAAACGGG
rnacentral:rRNA from 1 species